rnacentral:rRNA from 1 species
AACGAACGCUGGCGGCGCGUCUUAAACAUGCAAGUCGAACGGCAGGAAGGGGCUUGCCCCUUCUGAGAGUGGCGGACUGGUGAGUAACACGUGGGUGACAUACCUUUUAGUUGGGGAUAGCUAUUAGAAAUAGUAGGUAAUACCGAAUGUGACCGUACCUGUUAGAGGGGUACGAGGAAAGGAGCUAAGGCUUCGCUAAAAGAAUGGCUCGCGGCCCAUUAUGCUCGUUGGUGAGGUAACGGCCCACCAAGGCGAUGAUGGGUAUCCGGCCUGAGAGGGUGAACGGACACAUUGGGACUGAGAUACGGCCCAGACUUCUACGGGAGGCAGCAGUUAAGAAGAUUCCGCAAAGGACGAAAGUCUGACGGAGCGACGCCGCGUGGAUGAAGAAUGCCGAAAGGUUGUAAAAUCCUUUUAAGCCUGAUGAAUAAGCACAGUAGGGAAUGAUUGUGCGGUGACCGUAGGGCUUGAAUAAGCACCGGCUAAUUACGUG